UCACCGCUUAGAUCCGUUUGACAGACUCUCUAAUACUAUGCAUUUCUGGUUUCUCGAAACUACAUCCAAUUGAACUGUCGUCUGAUAAAUCAUUUUUUUGUCGACUAGCUUUAGAAUAACGAUUUUUCAAUCUUGCGAAUCAUUUCAUGUCAAGGAGGUGAUACCUGGUACGAAAUAAGGCAUCGCCGACGGUCGGCCGAGGGUGGGCCAACAGUGGUUCGAAUGUCGGCCGAAUGUCGGUCCACUGUCGGCCGUUCAUUAUCUCCUCGGGAUGCAGUCCCCACAUCACUACCCUGAAGGACACACAAGAUUGAGUGAAAAGUGAUGUUGCGUGAAACCGUGGGGCGCUACGUAGUUUUUUUUAUCCUCAUACGUGACUGUCAUUAAAGAGGUUAGAAAAACAAGGACAAUGUGCGCAAGAGGAGUACAGAGAAAGAAAAAGUUGCUACGACCUUGAUUGCAUUUAAUAAAAAAAAAAAAAGUAAAUGCACGACGAGUCCCCUGAGAGGUGCGGCAUCACAGGGAGAUCUAUCUUCGAUCGACAGUUUCUCAUAGAACCAGUUUCCAAUCGUGGUUACUGCGUACAUACAUACAUAAGUGUAUGAACUCAUGCUGUGAUGCAGCCGAAGAAGUUGAAAACGUAUUGUAUGACAAGACAACACCAUUUUGAAGAAUAUUUAUAACCUCACGUCGAGCAUGUAGCCUUGAUGUGCUUAGGUUCAACGUAUAGACUAACGUUGAUUGUAUUGAUUAUUUGUAUCCUGUUCGAUUUCUCAGGGAAUCUAGGAAAUGAAAAAUCCUUGAGUUAUUGCCACCAGGGUCGCCAAAUGAUUGAUUUUUUCCGAAAAUUAUUUUUAAUUUUUUUAGAUUGAGGUAAAUCAUAGCGAGGGCCCUAUGUGCCCCGAUGUAUCAAUAACUUCGUUCGAAGAACGUCAAUCGCUCGCAUUAUCGAUUUCAUUUAAUUGAUCAUGACUGUCUAAAGUCAUAAGAUGUUUUUUUUUAAUAUCAACAUGUGAUAAUUCUGAUUGGAAUUGGGGUCUUGAAAUUUUGAAAGUGUUGGGUCUUUAAUUUCAUGAAAAAAUUUAUAAUUUUGAAAACAAUGUCAGAUGUUGAUUAUAUACAACAGUACGAAAUAGAUAAAAUAAUAUCACAUGAUGAUAUAUAAUAUAAGUAAGAAUGUAAUAAUAAUAUAAUAAUAAUAAUG